GAUGGCCUCCAGGCGACCUCUCAGCGCAGGGCUCUCAGGAUGUCCCGAACCACGACCGAAGAGAAGCUCCAUGCGAUAGGUGACAUCAGGCGGGUAGCAUCAGGCAUAGAGGUCCCUCAGGCAGCGAAGACCAAUGGUGAAGCUCAUGAGUGAGAAGAGCAGACACAGCAUGUGAGAUAGACACACGAAGAUUGUGUCUGAUGCAAAUCAAAGAAAUAAUUAUAAACCUGUCACUGUGAGUACCUCUGUACUAUGUGUCAGAAUUAUAUGGAUUAACCUGUAAGUGACGAAAUGGGUGCACUACCUACGUGUAAUGCCAAAAAUGUGGUGCAUAAAAGCAUAAAAUUAAUCAAACCCUAACUGA